GAAACAUUGUAGUCAUAAAGCAUCUUUCCUUCGUGAGGAAAAAGGGGAGAAGAGGUGGUGGUGGUGGGGAGGUGACCAGGAAAGAAAAUGUAAAGAGAGCUGAAACAGAGAAAGAGGACUGGAAAGGCACCGUGUCAACAGCAUGUCUGCCAGUUUUCUCAGCACAUGCCUUGGGUACUUUCCGGGUGUUAGCAGGAGAGACCACAGAGACCUAGGAAUUCUAGCACUGAAAGACAGGGCAGGACCACUCAUGGUGUCUGUCUUAUAUCCAUAGCCUCAACUUAAUCCACGUGACCUACAGGUGACCCAGAUUCUGGUCCUGGAUGGCCCAGCACUUCCAAGUUGGGAACCCUAGCCAAUGAAACUCCUGUUGCUCCUCCUCUUCCUGAAGAUUCCUCCAAAGCUCACCUCCCCUCUGGAUCCCACUGCCCCCAGUGACUGAGGCUCUUGCCUCCCUACAGCCACCGCUCCGACUCAUUGUCAUCCCAAUCCAGCUACCACCUUAGAUCCACUCAGUACACAGCCAAAAGAAUGAUCCUAAAAUUAUUGUGAGUCCUCUAAGUUUAAUUCUUUUGCUUUUGGAAUAAAAACAAGUUUUCCUGACUGUA